AGAUCUACUAACACCCAUAUGUGGGCCACUGAGAUGGUAACUCAUGUCAGUAGUGUAUUAAUUUACAAAGGGUUCAGUCGAUACGAUAUGGAACCAUCAGACAACAUUUUCAUUGAAAAACCGCCAAGCACCGUUGCAACUUUUUUCUCCGGGCUCGACCAUAAAGGGGGGAGCGUCGCACAAUAGCAGGUGAGAAUAGCAGGUCUUGUGCUGGAUUUUCAUCUAAAAAAAUUCCUGUUCGACCACGGAACAAUAACAUCUGAGUGGAUUUGUGCUCAGAACCGACUGGUCCAGUGUACCUGAGCCAUCUUUUGUCAAAUCUCAUUAAAAACCAAUAAUGUUCUUGUUCUACCAAGGAACUGUGAUCACGGAUUGUCUGAGAAGUAGAACUGGUAAAGCAGACCUUAACAAUCAGUAUCGAUAUCGUCAACCUGCCUUGGAAGAUGACUGAGAAUUGGAAGCUGGUCGAUCGAGCAUACCUGAACCAUAUUGUGUUUGAUGUAAUUUAAACUAGUAAUUUUCUUGUUCUGCUGUGGAACAAUAAUGAAGGAAAAGGACAGAAAAUGAUUCUCUAGGAACUGGAACCAGCAAAGCAGACUUUAACAAUCAGGUGGAUAUCGCCAAGUUAGGUUUGAUUACGACUGGAUGAGUAUUGGAAGCUGGUCAGUUAAGCAUACCUGGAUGCCAUUCAAAACCAGUAACAUUCUUGUUCUUUAUUAGUCAGGGAAACUUAGAAAAGGAUUGUCUGAGAACGGGAUCCAGUAAAGUAGAUUUAACAAUGAUCUGAAACAGGAUAUCAGCUUUUUAGGAACUGGUACAGGGUACCCCAGCAAUCUUGUGGUUUUGGGAUAACAUUAAGUUUGAAGACGAUUGAGUUAGUGGAAACUGAUUGUUUGAGCAUAUUGAGUCAUUCAAAACCAGUAAAGUUAUUGUUCUGCUGUGGAAUAAUAGUGCCCAGAAGAUUGGAUAUGGGCUCAAACUGGUGAAGGACAUCUCAACAAUCUUGUGCACGCGGAUAUGAUUGAGUAUUGAAAGUUGGUCGAUCAUAUCUCUACCAGCGUGAUGUCAUUCAAAAUCAAUACUACUCUUGUGCUACUGUGGAAUAAUCACAUAAAUCGAGACCCAAGGAGGGUUGGAUGUGGUAAAGUACCCGUCUGAUGUCAUCAAGAUUGAAGGUGACGGGUUGAGUACUUGGAGACAGACGAGCAUACUGCAGCUACCUUGAUGCCCAUCAAAGCAGACAAGGGUUUUUCCUCUACCCCGAAACCCCUGCCAAGAUCGAGACUCCAUCACGGGAGGCCUGCUGCUUCAGGAGAGUCCUGCCACGAGACGGCGGAAAAGGUCACAUUUCCAUUCCAGGUGCCCAAACCUCACGGCAGGAGACCCGCCAUUUCCAUCCAGCAUCCUCGAGACAGACAGGAAGUGGCAAGAGUAGGCAUUUAGAGGAAGAUGAGCAACCAAAUGUCUGUGAUCCAAACCAAGAUCCAGAGAUGCUGUCUCAGUACCAGAAGGACUUCCCUCCUCUAUCCUCCUGGCGCAGGAGAACCCCCGCGCUGCCGCAGCCGGACAACAUCAAGAUCAACCCGGCUUUCAGGAUCGAGUUUUGGACUGUCCACGGGGCGACGUAUCCCAAUUGGCCCAACCCUGAUAUGGGAGGGGCCCCGUCCACCAUCGCCAAAUGUCCGUCCAGUAACACCAAUAUGACACUUAAUUAGGUACAAAAAUAUUGGAAUAUUAUACUACAGUGGUACCUAGACUUACAAGUUUGUGACCAACCUCGUAACUCAAUUUACUUGUCAAAUAUUUUUUUCCCACUAAUACAUUCCAGCCUCCCCAAAUAAUUUUGAAAUGCAUUAAUCAUUUUGCUUGAACCCCCAACAAAAAGGACAACACAAGAGCUUGUAAAUUGGGACAGUAAUUCAAGGUAAUAAUGUACUAAGAAACUAAGAUUACAAAACCUGGGAAGAGUAUUUUUAUGCAAGACGGCGUCAUGGCAUAGACAAAAGUGCAAAGCAGUCACUCAUUGGCCAAUCAGAUUGCUCUGUCAUUCUUAUGCUGCCCACAGCCACAAGGGGUCAUAUUGGCAUCAAAUAUUAGCAAUGAUGA